rnacentral:rRNA from 1 species
GAUGAACGCUGGCGGCGUGCCUAAUACAUGCAAGUCGAACGAACAGAUCAUGAUCUUGCGCCUCGCACGUGUGCGGCGGACGUGUGUAUAACAUGUGUAUCACCUACCUAUCUUACUGGUAACUCUUCGGGACUCGGGCUCUUAUCGCAUAGAAUCUAUUGAAGCACAGUGGGGGAUGGUAAAUGUCGGCGGUUCUGGCUCGUAUCGCUGCUUCUGCGCCGGAUUAGAUAGUUGUUAAGUUAACAGCUUACGAAGGCAACGAUGCGUAUCCGAACUGAGAGGGUGAUCGGCCACACUGGAAGUGAGACACGGUCCAGACUCCUACGGGAGGCAGCAGUAGGGAAUCUGACGCAAUGGGCGAAAGUCUGACGGAGUAACGCCGCGUGAGUGAUGAAGGUGUUGCGAUCGUAAAACUCUGUUAUUAGGGAAGAACAAAUGUGUAAGUAAAUAUGCACGUCUUGACGGUACCUAAUAAGAAAGCACCGGCUAACUACGUG